AGUUUGAUCCUGGCUCAGGACGAACGCUGGCGGCGUGCCUAACACAUGCAAGUCGAACGGGGUAGAGAGCUACGGUUUUCUACUUAGUGGCGAACGGGUGAGUAACGCGUGAGUAACCUGCCUUUCAGUGGGGGACAACAGUUGGAAACGACUGCUAAUACCGCAUAAAGUACUUUAAGGGCAUCCUUUGAGUACCAAAGAUUUAUUGCUGAAAGAUGGACUCGCGUCUGAUUAGCUAGUUGGUGAGGUAACGGCUCACCAAGGCAACGAUCAGUAGCCGGUCUGAGAGGAUGAACGGCCACAUUGGGACUGAGAUACGGCCCAGACUCCUACGGGAGGCAGCAGUGGGGAAUAUUGGGCAAUGGGGGAAACCCUGACCCAGCAACGCCGCGUGAAGGAAGAAGGCCUUCGGGUUGUAAACUUCUUUUACCAGGGACGAAGAACGUGACGGUACCUGGAGAAAAAGCAACGGCUAACUACGUGCCAGCAGCCGCGGUAAUACGUAGGUUGCAAGCGUUGUCCGGAUUUACUGGGUGUAAAGGGCGUGUAGGCGGAGAUGCAAGUUGGGAGUGAAAUCCCGGGGCUCAACCCCGGAACUGCUUUCAAAACUGUAUCCCUUGAGUGUCGGAGAGGCAAACGGAAUUCCUAGUGUAGCGGUGAAAUGCGUAGAUAUUAGGAGGAACACCAGUGGCGAAGGCGGCUUGCUGGACGAUAACUGACGCUGAGGCGCGAAAGCGUGGGGAGCAAACAGGAUUAGAUACCCUGGUAGUCCACGCUGUAAACGAUGAAUACGAGGUGUGGGAGGACUGCCCCCUUCCCGUGUCGCCAUUAAACACAAAUAAGUAUUCCACCUGGGGAGUAGGGCGGCAAGGGUUUAAAACUCAAAAGGAAUGACGGGGGCCCGCACAAGCAGUGGAUUAUGUGGUUUAAUUGGACGCAACGCGAAGACCCUUACCAGGAUUUGACAUCCUACUAACGAAGCAGAGAUGCAUUAGGUGCCCUUCGGGGAAAGUAGAGACAGGUGGUGCAUGGUUGUCGUCAGCUCGUGUCGUGAGAUGUUGGGUUAAGUCCCGCAACGAGCGCAACCCCUAUUGUUAGUUGCUACGCAAGAGCACUCUAUCGGGACCGCUACCGACAAGGUGGAGGAAGGUGGGGACGACGUCAAAUCAUCAUGCCCCUUAUGACCUGGGCUACACACGUACUACAAUGGCCGUAAACAAAGGGAAGCAAAGCCGCGAGGUGGAGCAAACCCCCAAAAACGGUCUCAGUUCAGAUUGCAGGCUGCAACUCGCCUGUAUGAAGUCGGAAUUGCUAGUAAUCGCGGAUCAGCAUGCCGCGGUGAAUACGUUCCCGGGCCUUGCACACACCGCCCGUCA
rnacentral:rRNA from 1 species